AGCACGAGGUACCAUUGUCCGUCGAUGGCGGGCAUUGCGGGAUUGUGUUUGUUCUGCUAGAUCGCGAUGUCUGCGACUUCCACCCGGCUUUUCUAUGAUGACGAGAGGGUCGUUCCCUUCCCCGACAUCAACCCCUCCGCCUUCAGGUAUCAUCUUUGUUCUCUUAUUUAGUUUCUGAUCUUCUUAUGGCUUCUUUCUAGAUUAUGUUUAGUCUGAUAUAAUUUUGGGGGAUUCUAUUUUAUAAAAUUUAUCAGUUGAUUCUCUUCAAGUACAUUACUCAAAUCUGGUUUUCCAGAUAAUGAUAAUGAAGGAAUCUAACCAGGAUUUCUGAUAAACUAAGUUCCAUGGCUGUUUGAGCUAGGUGUACAAUAUCCUAACUUUUCAGCAUUUGUAGCUAGAAUUAUUCACUGGCAUUUUCAAUACCCAACUUGAUUUCUAGACUUCAAACACUGGGCAAGGAGUAGCAUCACUAGAACUGGAGCACUUCAUUGUAGAGUAUUCGCUUAUUCUUACUACUGUAAUUACUUUAUGUUUAUCACAUUCUAUUAAUGCUAAAAGUGUUUUAUUAUGCUUAUUGCCGAAAUUUUGUCAACUUGUAAGCUUAAAGUCAUACUGAAUGGGUUAUUGAUUUCUUUAAUACUGCACAGGCAUUAUUUAGUUAUUCCUGUUGAACACGUAGCAACUGUGAAUGAUCUCAAGAGGGGCGUUGAUGACCAUCAGUUAGGUAUCCUGGUUUUUAUUUAUAAUGUGAGAAAUUACUAGUAUAGAGUAUAUGCAAGUUAGACAGCUGCAUGUUAUCAGUACUUGAGAAUUCUUCUGUACUUACUUAACCUGGCAUGGUUUUUCCUCUUCUUUUUCAAUUAGUCACAUGUUAUAAUGAGCAUGAGUCAUGCUGAUUGAAACAUAUCAUGUAAACAAAAUUGUUAGAUUAUAAAAUGUUAUUUGUUCAUAAAAAUUAAAAGCAUGAAUGUUAAUCAAUUAAGUUGACCAUAUGGAUAUGAAUAAAAAGAAAGAUAAGGUGGCAAGUUAGCUUUGAUGUCCUUCAUUUAAUUUAUGUCCUCCACAAGUAAUCAUCUUGAAUGACGAACAUAGACAUGGCUCUUGAGCUAGUGACAUUGACUUUAUGUCCUUCAUUUAAUUUUUAAGAAUAUAUACUUAAUUAAAAAAAUUAUAUUCAUCGCAUUUUUAUAUUUUAUUUUUCAAAGAUUUGAAACAGUUACAAGUACAAGUCUGGUCCUUCAUGUUCUCAAAUCAUAUAUCGUAAUGAAGUACAAGAUUUGAAGGCUGAGGUUCAAGGAUUGAAGGAAGCUUUAACUACUAUGAUUUCAUUAUUUCAAAAACAAUUUCCUAAUGAGAACAUGGAGGUCCUAAAUGCUGGGACUUGCAUAGUCAAUGGAGAGGUACCUGAUGCUUCUAGUGCUCAACAAACGCCGCAUGGGAAUAAUCAUUCUCAUGAAUCAAGUCAUCAAGUGAUGCCGUUUAGAAGAUGACAUCGGUUCUACUUGGGAAAAUUCUUGUUGCUUUAUUGGGUUGUUAGACAUUAAAUGAAAGUAGUUUAUUUUUGUGUUAGAUUUGAAAUUGAGGGAAGAACUCUUGGUUGUCAAGAUUGAAUGGUGGUUUAUUUUUGGACAUAUACCUUAUAAAUAUAUGUUUGUGGUGA